GCAUUUCAAAAUAUCCACGUAGCUUGUGAAUAAUGCAUUUUCUGUUGUGAUUAAAAGAUUUAGGAUAUCAGUUAAGGAACUUUAGUUUAUCAGAUAAAAUAGGAAAUUAAAGGGCGGAAUUAGAAGGGAAAAUCUAUGUGAAAGAACAGUUUAGUGAUGUAGUACAUUAGAAGUGAAAACAGCUUUCGUCCGGAACCGCCAUCUUCCAGUAAUUCACCAAAAUGACCAACACAAAAGGGAAGAGGCGGGGCACCUGCUACAUGUUCUCUAGGCCUUUUAGAAAACAUGGAUUUGUUCCUUUGGCCACAUACAUGUGAAUCUACAAGAAAGGUGAUAUUGUAGAUAUCAAGGGAAUGGGCACUGUACAAAAAGGAAUGCCCCACAAAUGUUACCAUGGCAAAACUGGAAGAGUCUACAGUGUUACCCAGCAUGCUGUUGGCAUCAUUGUAAACAAACAAGUUAAGGGCAAGAUUCUUGCCAAGAGAAUUAAUGUGCGUACCGAGCAUAUUAAGCACUCUAAGAGCCGAGAUAGCGUCCUGAAACGGGUGAAGGAAAAUGAUCAGAAAAAGAAGGAAGCCAAAGAGAAGGGUACUUGGGUUCAGCUGAAGCGCCAGCCUGCUCCACCCAGAGAAGCACACUUUGUGAGAACCAAUGGAAAGGAGCCUGAGCUGCUGGAGCCCAUUCCCUACGAGUUCAUGGCAUGAUAGGUGUGAAGAAAAUAAAAGCCCUGGACUCUGCAAAUGUUUCUCUUUAUUGAGUAGAAGUGUGUGUCCCCUCCCCCAAAGAAGUAUUUAAAUCAUAUUUUAAUUGUGUCCAAAUUCAUUGGGUGAUGUCUUUUCAAAUUUGGCAAUUUUUCUUUCUGAAAGAUGUGAGGUAGUUUGUUGUGCAGUGUACUCCAUUGGUUACUAAACUGCCAGAUGUUAUUUAUAAAAUAUUUAUACUAGUUUGAAG